rnacentral:rRNA from 1 species
CGCGGCGGCGAGCUUACCCAUGCGAUUCUAAACGGGGAAGGUAGCUGCCACCUGAACCUUACGGCGGACGGGUGAGUAAUGCUUAGGAAUCUGCCUAUUAGUGGGGGACAACGUUUCGAAAGGAACGCUAAUACCGCAUACGUCCUACGGGAGAAAGCAGGGGAUCAUUUGACCUUGUGCUAAUAGAUGAGCCUAAGUCGGAUUAGCUAGUUGGUGGGGUAAAGGCCUACCAAGGGCGACGAUCUGUAGCGGGUCUGAGAGGAUGAUCCGCCACACUGGGACUGAGACACGGCCCAGAACUCCUACGGGAGGCAGCAGUGGGGAAUAUUGGACAAUGGGCGCAAGCCUGAUCCAGCCAUGCCGCGUGUGUGAAGAAGGCCUUAUGGUUGUAAAGCACUUUAAGCGAGGAGGAGGAGCUUCAGGUUAAUACCCUGGAUGCUUGGACGUUACUCGCAGAAUAAGCACCGGCUAACUCUGUGCCAGCAGCCGCGGUAAUACAGAGGGUGCAAGCGUUAAUCGGAUUUACUGGGCGUAAAGCGUGCGUAGGCGGCUAAUUAAGUCAAAUGUGAAAUCCCCGAGCUUAACUUGGGAAUUGCAUUCGAUACUGGUUAGCUAGAGUAUGGGAGAGGAUGGUAGAAUCCAGGUGUAGCGGUGAAAAUGCCGUUAAGAGAAUCUGGAGGGCAACUACCCGAUGGGCGAAAGGGCAAGCAUUCUGGGCCUUAUACUUGAACGCUUGAGGUAACGAAAAAGGACAUUGGGGAAGGCAAACCCAGGGAUUAGACUCCCCCUGGUUAGUCCCACUGCGUAAAACCGAAUGUCUCACUAACCCGUGGGGGUCUUUGGAGAACCUUAGUGGGCACAGU